AUUGAACGCUGGCGGCAUGCCUUACACAUGCAAGUCGAACGGCAGCACGGGAGCAAUCCUGGUGGCGAGUGGCGAACGGGUGAGUAAUGUAUCGGAACGUGCCCAGUCGUGGGGGAUAACGUAGCGAAAGCUACGCUAAUACCGCAUACGAUCUAUGGAUGAAAGCGGGGGAUCGCAAGACCUCGCGCGAUUCGAGCGGCCGAUAACAGAUUAGGUAGUUGGCGGGGUAAAGGCCGACCAAGCCGGCGAUCUGUAGCUGGUCUGAGAGGCCGACCAGCCACACUGGAGCUGAGACACGGUCCAGACUCCUACGGGAGGCAGCAGUAGGGAAUUUUGGGCAGUGGGCGCAAGCCUGAUCCAGCAAUGCCGCGUGCAGGAUGAAGGCCUUGGGGUUGUAAACUGCUUUUGUACGGAACGAAACGGCUUUUUCUAAUACAGAGAGCUAAUGACGGUACCGUAAGAAUAAGCACCGGAUAACUACGUGCCAGCCGCCGCAGUAA
rnacentral:rRNA from 1 species